GUCAGCGCCCGCCCCUCCGCGCGCUCCCGCGCCAGCUCCGCGCGCUGUCUCCGCCCCUCGCCCCGCGCGGCAGGAGGCGUGGCUAGCCUCGUUCCCACCCCGCAGCGUACAUAUAAAGCUGGCGAGCGCGCGUAACGCCCCCUCUUUCCCCACGGAGCGCCUGCUAUGGCGGCACACGGUAAGGCGGCGCGGGAUGCGGUGUCUGCCGCUGCGCCGGCCAGGGGGAGGGUGUGAUGGAGAGGAGAUUUUCAUUGGUGCCAAGUACAUUGUACAUUAA
rnacentral:lncRNA from 1 species